AGGACGAACGCUGGCGGCGUGCUUAACACAUGCAAGUCGAGCGAUGAAGCUCCUUCGGGAGUGGAUUAGCGGCGGACGGGUGAGUAACACGUGGGUAACCUGCCUCAUAGAGGGGAAUAGCCUUUCGAAAGGAAGAUUAAUACCGCAUAAGAUUGUAGUACUGCAUGGUACAGCAAUUAAAGGAGUAAUCCGCUAUGAGAUGGACCCGCGUCGCAUUAGCUAGUUGGUGAGGUAACGGCUCACCAAGGCGACGAUGCGUAGCCGACCUGAGAGGGUGAUCGGCCACAUUGGGACUGAGACACGGCCCAGACUCCUACGGGAGGCAGCAGUGGGGAAUAUUGCACAAUGGGGGAAACCCUGAAUGCAGCAACGCCGCGUGAGUGAUGACGGCCUUCGGGUUGUAAAACUCUGUCUUUGGGGACGAUAAUGACGGUACCCAAGGAGGAAGCCACGGCUAACUACGUGCCAGCCGCGGC
rnacentral:rRNA from 1 species